rnacentral:rRNA from 1 species
UGGGGAAUAUUGCACAAUGGGCGAAAGCCUGAUGCAGCAACGCCGCGUGAGUGAUGAAGGCCUUCGGGUUGUAAAGCUCUGUCUUUUGGGACGAUAAUGACGGUACCAAAGGAGGAAGCCACGGCUAACUACGUGCCAGCAGCCGCGGUAAUACGUAGGUGGCGAGCGUUGUCCGGAUUUACUGGGCGUAAAGGAUGCGUAGGCGGAUUUUUAAGUGAGAUGUGAAAACCCUAAGCUUAACUUGGGGACUGCAUUUCAUACUGGAAAUCUAGAGUGCGGGAGAGGAGAAUGGAAUUCCUAGUGUAGCGGUGAAAUGCGUAGAGAUUAGGAAGAACACCAGUGGCGAAGGCGAUUCUCUGGACCGUAACUGACGCUGAGGCAUGAAAGCGUGGGUAGCAAACAGGAUUAGAUACCCUGGUAGUCCACGCCGUAAACGAUGAGUACUAGGUGUAGGAGGUAUCGACCCCCUUCUGUGCCGCAGUUAACACAAUAAGUACUCCGCCUGGGAAGUACGAUCGCAAGAUUUAAAACUCAAAUGAAUUGACGGGGGUCAUAGCUGUUUUUCCCU